GACGAACGCUGGCGGCGUGCUUAGCACAUGCAAGUCGAACGGAAAGGCCCUGCUUUUGUGGGUUGCUCGAGUGGCGAACGGGUGAGUAACACGUGAGUAACCUGCCCUUUACUUUGGGAUAACUUCAGGAAACUGGGGCUAAUACCGGAUAUGAGCUCCUGCUGCAUGGUGGGGGUUGGUAAGUUUCGGCGGUUGGGGAUGGACUCGCGGCUUAUCAGCUUGUUUGUGGGGUAGUUGCUUACCAAGGGUUUGACGGGUAGCCGGCCUGAGAGGGGGACCGGCGACAUUGGGACUGAGAUACGGAACAGAGUGCAAGGGGAGGCAGCAGGGGGGAAGAUUGCACAAUGGGCGGAAGCCUGAUGCAGAAACGCAGGGUGCGGGAUGACGGCCUUCGGGUUGUAAACCGCUUUAGCCUGUGACGAAGCGUGAGUGACGGUAAUGGGUAAAGAAGCACCGGCUAACUACGUG
rnacentral:rRNA from 1 species